GUGUAUUCUACAGUGCACGUGUCUCCAGUGUGGCUCGGAGGCUGGGGACGCGGCCCUGUUGGAGUAAC
rnacentral:pre_miRNA from 1 species